AAAAGAAAGAACAUGGAAGUUAUGAUUUCAUUUUCAGACAUUGUCUGAUUGUCUCUCAUGCACAUCUCAUUGCCUUGGUUUGAGUUCCUUGGGGUUUCUUUUGUUUUCUUCUUACAUUGAGAAGAUAAGAAGGAAAAAAUUUGGGGUUCAUCAAAGAAAUGGAAGGGGAAACAUAUUCAGUCUAUGGAAACGGUGUGAAUCAUAAAGUUAGACAAACUUUUCACAAGAAUUUCAUUCAAGUUCAGAGUUUAUUAGAUCAAAAUAGAUUACUUAUCAAUGAGAUUAAUCGAAACCAUGAGUCUAAUAUACCUCAUAAUCUCAAUAGGAAUGUGGGUUUGAUUAGAGAAUUGAAUAAUAAUAUUAGAAGAGUUGUGCUUCUUUAUGCAGAUCUUUCAAGCUCAUUGGUUUCUUAUGAAGGUGGUGGUGGUGAUUUUAGUGGUGGUGGUGGUCGUAGUGGUGGUUUGUUUGAGAGAUUCCUCAAUCAUAAUGGCAAGAAGAGAAAAACUCCAUGAUCCAUCUUUUUCCAUGAGAAGAAGAGUUAGUGAUGAGUUCUUUCUGGUGGUGGAAAUUAUAACUUUGCAGCGUACAUCUUCAUGAGCUACUAGUUUGAUGUUGUUUUACAUAUUGUAAUUCUGUUUCAUCAUAGGAAAUGAACUACCAUGUUUUUUGUUCAUCAAAUCCUUUCUUUUUUCGUGUUUUUAGAUUGUUUCUAGUGAUAUGCACAAUGGGUUCUUCUUCUUUUUUCUGUUUGUAAUGUAAUGUACUUGAAGUCUCAUUGAGAAAUCCUUUCUAGUAACAGUUCUUGAGAGUCUUUUUCUUUCUUA